rnacentral:rRNA from 1 species
GCGUGCCUACACAUGCAAGUCGAACGAGCAAAGCUCCCUUCGGGGGGUGAGUAAAGUGGCAGACGGGUGAGUAACACGUGGGUAACCUGCCCGCGGGUGGGGGAUAACCCUCCGAAAGGAGGGCUAAUACCGCAUAACAUCUCGAGCUCUUCGGCGCCUGAGAUCAAAGCUUGCCUCUUCUUGAAAGCAAGCGCCUGUGGAGGGGCCCGCGCCCCAUUAGCUUGUUGGUGAGGUAACGGCUCACCAAGGCUGCGAUGGGUAGCCGGCCUGAGAGGGUGAUCGGCCACACUGGAACUGAGNCACGGCCNACACUAAUACGGGAGGCAGCAGUGAGGAAUUUUGCGCAAUGGGCGAAAGCCUGACGCAGCGACGCCGCGUGGAGGACGAAGGUCUUCGGAUCGUAAACUCCUGUNCAAGCGGGACGAAGUCCGUGCGGAUGAAUAAGCC